rnacentral:rRNA from 1 species
GAUGAACGCUGGCGGCGUGCCUAAUACAUGCAAGUCGAGCGAACAGACGAGGAGCUUGCUCCUCUGACGUUAGCGGCGGACGGGUGAGUAACACGUGGAUAACCUACCUAUAAGACUGGGAUAACUUCGGGAAACCGGAGCUAAUACCGGAUAAUAUAUUGAACCGCAUGGUUCAAUAGUGAAAGACGGUUUUGCUGUCACUUAUAGAUGGAUCCGCGCCGCAUUAGCUAGUUGGUAAGGUAACGGCUUACCAAGGCAACGAUGCGUAGCCGACCUGAGAGGGUGAUCGGCCACACUGGAACUGAGACACGGUCCAGACUCCUACGGGAGGCAGCAGUAGGGAAUCUUCCGCGAAGGGCGAAAGCCUGACGGAGCAACGCCGCGUGAGUGAUGAAGGUCUUCGGAUCGUAAAACUCUGUUAUUAGGGAAGAACAAAUGUGUAAGUAACUAUGCACGUCUUGACGGUACCUAAUCAGAAAGCCACGGCUAACUACGUG